AGGACGAACGCUGGCGGCGUGCUUAAUACAUGCAAGUCGAACGAGAAAGUAUUCUUCGGGAUACUAGUAAAGUGGCGAACGGGUGAGUAACACGUAAGCAAUCUGCCCCCGGGAUGGGGACAACCCUGCUAACGCGGGGCUAAUACCGAAUAACGCAGCGAGUCCGCAUGGACAUGCUGUUAAAGGUGGGGAUCUUUUUAAGACCUACCACUUGGGGAUGAGCUUGCGGUCCAUUAGCUUGUUGGUGAGGUAACGGCUCACCAAGGCCGCGAUGGAUAGCCGGCCUGAGAGGGCGACCGGCCACACUGGGACUGAGAUACGGCCCAGACUCCUACGGGAGGCAGCAGUAAGGAAUAUUGCGCAAUGGCCUAACGGCUGACGCAGCAACGCCGCGUGACUGAUGACGCAUUUCGGUGUGUAAAGGUCUGUUAGGAGGGAUGAAAACCAUUGUCUGAAAUACAGGCAGUGCCUGACAUUACCUCCAGAGAAAGCUCCGGCUAACUCCGUGCCAGCAGCCGCGGUAAUACGGAGGGAGCAAGCGUUGUCCGGAAUCACUGGGCGUAAAGGGCACGUAGGCGGAUUGUUAAGUCAGAAGUGAAAUUCACUUGCUUAACGAGUGAACUGCUUUUGAAACUGGCAGUCUUGAGUACUGGAGAGGUGAGCGGAAUUCCAGGUGUAGCGGUGAAAUGUGUAGAUAUCUGGAAGAACACCGGUGGCGAAGGCUGCUCUCUGGCCAGUUACUGACGCUGAGGUGCGAAAGCGUGGGGAGCGAACAGGAUUAGAUACCCUGGUAGUCCACGCCCUAAACGAUGGAUACUAGGUGUUGGAGGUGUCGACCCCUUCAGUGCCGCAGCUAACGCAUUAAGUAUCCCGCCUGGGGAGUACGAUCGCAAGGUUG
rnacentral:rRNA from 1 species